rnacentral:rRNA from 1 species
GAGCUACUACGGCAGACGGGUAAUGUGGAAAGAUUACAGUAAAGGUUGUGGUAGUUGUGAAAUGCUAAUCGUAUUUUAAGGUAGCUGGUUUACCACUAAACCUAUGUGGUAGGUAAAAUGGCUUUUUGUGUCCUCUAUAAAGUAGGGGUGGCGAUUAGGUUAGCUUAGGGGCCCUAAGGGUGAAGCUUUGGGGUUAAGUUGGAUAAGAGAAGUACACAAUAGUUAGGAGUAGGGAUGAAAGUGCCCAGCUUUAAGUGGAGGUUGUUAUUAACCAUUUCGGUAGCGAGUAAAAUUUAUGUGUGGAAAUAUCCGAGAUGUGGUGGUAAAUGCCCUAAAAUUUUUGGUGGGGGUAAAUAUAAUGCUUGCAUGAGUAUUGAAAUUGGAUGUUAGUUUCGUGAAUAAUUAAAGGAAGGAGCAGUUGAUGAUUAAGUUUUAAUUAAAUGUAGUUAAGGAAUUCGGCAAACAUUAAUUCCGCCUGUUUAACAAAAACAUGUCUCCUUGUAGGAUAAAGAUUGGGAG